UCCCGGUAUCCCGGGCAGUCUCGCGCGACACAUAUAACACGCGACGGGGGUUGCGCUCGUUUCCCCACUGAAGGGAACCAUUCACAUGACGAGCUGACGACAGCCGUGCAGCACCUGUCUAGCACCCUCUAAGGCUUCCCCGGUUUCUCGGGGCGUGCAGCUAGAUUUCAAGCCCUGGUGAGGUUUUCCGCUCUGUGUCGAAUUAAACCACAUCAUCCACUGCUUGUGCGAGCUCCCGCCUAUUCCUUUGAGUUUUAGCCUUGCGGCCGUACUUCCCAGGCGCCAGACUUAACGCGUUAGCUACGCCACCGAGAGGGUCGAUGCUCCCAAUAGCUAGUCUGGAUAGUUUAGGGCGUGGACUA
rnacentral:misc_RNA from 1 species